rnacentral:rRNA from 1 species
CUAUCAACUUUCGAUGGUACUCUAUGUGCCUACCAUGGUGACCACGGGUAACGGGGAAUCAGGGUUCGAUCCCGGAGAGGGAGCCUGAGAAAUGGCUACCACAUCCAAGGAAGGCAGCAGGCGCGCAAAUUACCCAUUCACGACACGUGGAGGUAGUGACGAAAAAUAACAAUACAGGACUCUUUCGAGGCCCUGUAAUUGGAAUGAGUGUACUUUAAAUCCUUUGGCCACUACCAAUUGGAGGGCAAGUCUGGUGCCAGCAGCCGCGGUAAUUCCAGCUCCAAAUAGCGUAAUCUUUAAAGUUGCUGCAGUUAAAAAGCUCGUAGUUGGAUUCUCGGGGCCGGGCUGACGGUCCGCCGAAAAGCGUGCUACCGACUGUCCCGGCCCCUGCCCUCGGCGCCCCCUCGAUUGCUCUUGGUUGAGUGUCUUGCGGGGUUCGAAGCGUUUACUUUGAAAAAAUUAGAGUGUUCAAAGCAGGCCCAGUUGCCACGAAUACUCAGUCUAGGAAUAAUGGAAUAGGACUCCGGUUCUAUUUUGUGGGUUUUCUCAUAGGAAUAAUGGAAUAGGGACUCCGGUUCUAUUUGUGGGUUUUCUCAAUGGACUGGGGGCCAGGAUUAAGAGGGACGGCCGGGGGCAUUCGUAUUGCGCCGCUAGAGGUGAAAUUCUUGGACCGGCGGAGACGGACGAAAGCGAAAGCAUUUGCCAAGGAAUGUUUUUCAUAAGCAAGAACGAAAGGUCGGAGGGUUCGAAGACGAUCAGAUACCGUCGUAUUCCGACCAUUAAACGAUGCCGACUAGCGAUCCCGGCGGCGUUAUUCCCAUGACCCCCGGGGAGCUACCCGGGAAACCAAAGUCUUUGGGUCUGGGGGAGUAUUGUUGCAAAGCUGAAACUUAAAGGAAUUGACGGAAGGGCACCACCAGGAAGUGGAGCCUGCGGGCUUAAUUUGACUCAACACGGGAAACCUCACCCGGCCCGGACACGGAAAGGAUUGACAGAUUGAUAGCUCUUUCUCGAUACCGGUGGGUGGUGGUGCAUGGCCGUUCGUAGUUGGUGGAGCGAUUUGUCUGGUUUAAUUCCCGACAACGAAACGAGACUCUGGCAGGCUAAAUGUUACGCGGCCCCUGCGGUCGGCGUCCAAAACUUUCUUAGAGGGACAGUGGCGUACGCCACACGAGAUUGAGCAAUAACAGGUCUGUGAUGCCCUUAAGAUGUCCGGGGCUGCACGCGCGCCACACUGAGCGGAUAUCAGCGUGUGCCUGCCUUUGCCGACAGGCGUGGGUAACCCGCUGAACCCCGCUCGUGAUGGGGAUUGGGGAUUGCAACUGUUUCCCCAUGAACGAGGAAUUCCCAGUAAGCACGGGUCACAAGCUUCGUGUUUGAUUAAGUCCCUGCCCUUUGUACACACCGCCCCGCCGCUACUACCGCGUGGAGCCUGCGGCUUAAUUUGACUCAACACGGGGAAACUCACCAGGUCCAGACACAAUAAGGAUUGACAGAUUG